UAGUAAUAGUAGUGGUGGUAGUGGUAAUGAUACUGGUAGUGGUAAUGAUAGUGGGGUGGUGCUGUCAAUAUAAAUAUGCAAAGGAGUAGCAUAGAGAACAUAGUUUCAUAACUCAGAGGAAACGCGUUGCAAGAAUUGCUACUAAUAGUACAUCUUAUAGUUUUCUUCGCUCUCAGGAUACAUUGAAAAUAACAGUUCAAUGGUAAAACGAUGUAGACAGAAAUUAUGCUAUAGGAGAAUACAGAUAAGAAUAUCAAUUAAUGUAAUUUGCACAACGAUGACAUUGGAGAUGCUUUGAGCAACUAGUGGUAUUGCUCCAGUACCAAGAAGAUGAAUUCUUUACGAUAUUAAUUUACAUAAACAUGAAUUUUUGACCAACUUCCUCUUAUGGAGAACAUUUAUCGUAAAAUGUUUAUCAGAUUGUUGCGGCCGAAGAUGUUACAACAUGGAUGAACGUAAAAAUUAAUGAAGAUAAUGUCAGUGAAAAAUUGAAUAAGACGAAUUCCAUUGAAGGAUUCUACGCCAGUAUUGGAAUCUUGGUGACUGGAGCAACGGGUUUCAUAGGCAAAGGAAUUUUAGAGAAACUGAUGCGUGUGUGUCCAAGCCUCGUCGCCAUUUUUAUUCUCAUUUGACAGAAGAAAAACGAAACGAUGGAGCAACGAUUUAAGAAGCUCAUAGAUGAUCCAGUUCAUUUAUGAUAGUGUCAAAGCAAUCUAUCUCUCAGUUGUGAACAAACUUCAUCUCAUAGAAGGAGAUGUCAGAGUUAGGUCUUUCGUCAGCAGAUAAGACUAUACAGCUUAUAGCAAUGCCAAUGUACUUGAGAUCAAAGGAAAAAUUUACACCACGAGUUCUGCAGUAAUUAAUACGUGUGAAAAAGGAGAUCAAAAAUCGAUCAAUCUAUUAGAAAAAUUUAUCACAACACGUACACGUUCAGUAAAAAUCUGGCGUAACAAAUUGUAUCCAACAAUACCGAUAGUUUGCCAGUUGAGAUAGUGCGACCAAGUGCGACCAAUUGGUGCUUCGCUAAAGGAACCAUGCUUGGGUAGACAAUAUCUUUGGACUUACAAGUAUCUUUAUUCUAAUUGGCAAAGGUACCACACGAGCGAUGUCAGUCAGAAAUAAAAGAUUGGAUUUAGUACCUAAUGACGGGAUGGUCUAUGAGCUUCUUAAAUCGUUGCUCCAUCGUUUGAUUUUUUUUUUCGGUCGAAUGAGGAUAAAAAUGGCGACGAUGUUUGGACACACACGCAUCAGUUUCUCUAAAAUUCUUUUGCCUAUGAAAUCCGUUGCUCCAAUCACCAAGAUUCCAGUAUUGGUGUAGAAUCCCUUAAUGGAAUUCGCCUUAUUCAAUUUCUCACUGACAUUGUCUUUAUUAAUUUUUACGUUCAUUGUAAGAUCUUCCGCAGUUGAUCUAUAAUUGCAUAGAAAUAUGAAUCAGAAAGUUGAAAAGUAAAGAACACAAGUCUUUUACUUUAGAUUUUUGUACAAGGUAAACGACAUUUGUUGUUUAGGCAACAACAAGGAUUUAUCUAGGCAAGUUUCAAAAUUAAUUCAUAGCCCAUAAAAUGACAUAUACAUAUAUUGUGGUAUAUAGACCACUAUGUCAAUGUAUGGAUGGUGAUGAUGAUAGUGUCAUUGUUCCUAUUUUCAUCCUAGUUAGUUACUACUUCAUCAGUAGAUUUUUCAAUCUUUGGCAACAAUUUGAAUGGGCGAUAGCUUGUUCUGGUCUGGCCUAUUUGAAUUUGUUUGUAUCUGCUUGAAUAUUGUAAAUGUUAUUCACAUCUAUAUGGAAAUUCCAGAAAUAUAUCGCAAUGCUUUCUUAUAUUUUAAGGAUUUAUUAUAUUUAUAACAUUGAUAUCUUCUUCUGCAAUAGAAGACCUUGUGGCUUGGACCUUGAUAGCGUAAAAUUCAGAUUUAGUAACAUUCGCGUAGGACUUAGUGAUUCAACUUUGCAAACAGCACUACACUAUUUUAAAUACAAAAGUUAUAUUAUUAAAGGUUUUUACAUAUGUGAUUAAUGAUAUAAAUAUGACUGAAUAGUUGAACACAACGGCACAAUCAUUAUGAUACUUGAGCAUUUCAAGAUCAAUGUUAAAUAAUAUAGAGAAAAAACAAAAAUCGCAUAAAUAUAGACUACAACAUGGCGCGUCAAAUAAUACACUCUCCAUUUCUUAUUUCUUCUUCCUAUUUUAUAUUCCAAGGACACGGAAUCAGCAAACAAAGAAAUUACCAUGAAAAUCUAUCUAGUAGAAAUAAUCAGUCAUAAUUCAGGCCAAAGACCAUUCUGGGAAACUUUAUCAAAAACUUGAAGCAGCUCAAUAAAUUCCGAAGAAAUGAAAAUACCAACUGUUGAGGCCUCUAGUGACAUCGACGUCAAAGUGACAGCGCAAAUGUGUGGAAGCACCAAUUUAUCUUUUAACUGUAUUUUGCCAUAACCAAAAUCUUGGUUACCGAAACGUCGAUUAACUCUUGAUAUAGUUGUAAAAGAAAGACUAAGAAUAAGCUUAAGACUUAGAAAAAUCCUUAAUUGCCAGUAAGCUUAUUUUAUGGGAGUUGAUUAAUCAGCUAUGGCCAAUCACUUUGAAGUAUGAGCCGGUAAUUUAUUGCCCUAACGUACUCCAUCCAAGAAUCAACAUUAAUUGUUCUUGAGAACAUAAUAGUAAAUAAGCAGACCCGAGAGUCAACAAUCAAGAUUGACAACAGUAAACGCUCCCGACACAAUAAACACCAUGCAAUCUAACAAACGAAUCGUCAGUACAGAAAAUGGUCAAUACAGAAUCGUUUUUCACGAUAAAUGUAAGACUGCAAAUUUCUUUAUACUGAAAUUCUGAACUUUCCUUUGUCCAUCAUAUUUUCAUGCAUUAAAACUACAUUCGAUGUAUUCGAAUAGCAUUAACAUCGUUCGUUGUACCAAAUAAGCAAUAACCAAGUUAUAUUUGAUACAUGUGAAUGACAAUAUGUAUACAUAGUUUAAAAAAAAAGGAAUCACAGAUACAUAAGCUACGAUGUGAGGGGAAUCAUCGGUACAUAGAUUACAAUGUGACAUGAUUUAAAUGUUAAUAAAAUAUGUCGGUAUUUUAAGUCACGGGCCGCGGAAGUCCGUAAGAUGUAAUGUCUAUUCAUAUACCUCAUUUGUGACUGUGAUGAAAAUAGUAUUUUGUGAAAAGAAUUAUAUAGUUUUGGGGGUUGACAUGUACAUGUAGGUUGACACGUGGACUAACACAUAAUAAUUAUUAUUAUUAAAAUAAUUCGAACAAUUUUUGCUAGUACUUAUAAAUGAGUGUUGUAAUCGAAUAGUCAAAUAUAUGUUAAAUUUUUCAUCGCAUUUUCAUUAGUCUCUGUUUUAAAUCGUUAUAUUCCUUCAUUGAUAAAUUACCACUACGUUCAAUUCAAUAAAUAAUUCUCAAGUAGAUGUUACAAUACUGUCUAUAUUUUUUAAUUUUAAUUUUCGUCACUAUUAGUGCUGCAGUGCGAAACUUGCCUAAAUCGAUACAACAGGAUGUGACACGAAAAUAGUAAAAGAGUCCUGAGAUCUCCUAAUCGUCGGCUGAAAAAAUACAUUGGAACACCUCAAUGGGUAAUUAUCAAUUUUGAACAAGAAUGUGAAGUACGUUCAUUUGAAAUUGAAUUUCAAGGUGGAUUUGUUGGCAAAAAUUGUCAUUUAGAAAUUGGUAA